CGACUGGGCUUCUGCCGACGUCACAGGCGUGCGCUGCAGCCGGGUUCAAAGGUUAAAAUGCAGCUGGGUCACCGCUGGGCUCCGGGUGGGGGCCGCGGUCCGGACCGCCGGUCCUCCCAGGUAACACGGAACCUGCCAUCAGGCUCAUUACAAAGCGUGCGGCUGCGUGUCGUAUGCGCCAACUUCCCAUCACUGUAACCAUCACAGAGCCAUCAGCUUAAAGAGAGGAAAGCGCAUGCUGGAUGCAGGCACUGAGCCCUCCCACGGCCACGCUGCACACUAAGGACCCGGCCGCAGUGGGCCGCAGUCAGGACGUGUGGCUCAGCACCAUGCAGUGCCCCUGGCCCAUCGUGGGUGCCUCAGAUCCCUUGCAGAUUGGAUUAUCUGUCAAGCUGGCCACGGAGCAAGCUCACAGCAGCCUGCCUGCUGCCUCUGCUACACGGAACCGAAGACGAGGGGACGUCUGUCACGUGAGAUUCGACGUGAUGGCAUGAAACUCUCCUACACACAUCCUAUACGCCAUAGAGUAAUCAAAUCAGGAUAAUUACUCUUUGUUUGGCCAACAUCCAAAACUUCUCUUUAGCUGUCUGGAACAUGCAAUGCAUUGCUGUCAGCCGUCUUCAGGCCACCACGUGAGUGUGACACACAGGCCGUGGGAUUCCGUGCCUGGGUCUGUGUCCCUCCCUUGCCUCUUGCCUCUCAGCUUGGAAAUCACAGUGCUUACCGCCUCCCUGGGCAGUGGAGUGGUUGUCACAGUGGCCCCCGGUGGCUUUGCCCCCCAUAAGAACACUCGGGUGGACCCCGAGUUCCCCACACAGGGGCCACUCUCUCAGAGGCACCCAGAUCACUGGCUGACACAGGUCGAGCUGCGCCUCCAACCUGUGACUGAGGUCCGACCUCCUCACCACCACACAGGCCACACUGCACUGAGAGAGGUCGCGAGACGAGGCCCAAGGCAGCCAGGGACCCAGCUUCCCACCGGGCUGGCCCAGCCUCGGCCGUUUCCACACAUGGGACGCACUACUGCCAGUGAACAGAGAAAGGACUUCACUGGCCGCAAGUGCGUUACCUCUGGGGCAGGACGGCCCACGAGAGAGCACUCUGUGCUCAGCAUCCCAGCACUCCUACAGUACCGAGUCUGUGGAGCCACUCUCGCCGUGGGAAGCACCGGACACGGGGGUGGGGACACCUCGAUCUCAGGCAUUGGGAUGACAGCGGCUCACCCUCCCUCCCUGUGAGCACCCAGGCGGGUUUGAGGUGAUGCAUGCUCAUCGGAGAGCCCCAGGGUAACAGGAAGGAGAGGGAGAACCCACCUCAUCCAAAUCCUCGGUGCCAGAGAGACUCGCUGUGGUUUUCUGACUUCACUGGUACAGCCAGGUGUAGGUGUGCGGACGUUGGAAGAGAGACAGACAGACAGACACAGAGAUGAGAGGGGAGAAUCUACGUUCCUUUCUCUCCCCUGACCCUGCUAAUGAUUAACAUACCUGAGCUUCUCCCUGUGUCCAGUGGAGAUUCUUUGAUUUCAGCGAAACUUAAGAGUUGGCUCAAGUUCGGCAGACUCUGUGAACGAGGACUUCCAAGGUGGUUCUGACACCUUUCAGAGAAGGAGGGAAGCAGACUUUUUCAUACCGGUGAGUUCCUUUAUGCCUCCAAGGGAUUUCUAGCUGCCUGGCAGGUGGCAGUGCCAGGAUGUCUAGGAGAGGGACGUGGCUUCUAGGUGGUCUGUGCUCACAGCAUGGGUUUGCUCACGAUCCUUUAUUACUCUAUUACUGAUCCAUGCCACAGACACAGUGGGCCUAAUCUCUGACCUCAGAAACGUGAGCUCAGAGUCCUGGAAAGCAUGAGGUCAGACCCAGCCUAAAGGCUCAAGGCUGCGACAGGCAGAGUGCGGGUUUGCAGUGCAUCUGAAGAUCCUCGGGGUAACCGGGGCUCUGCGCUGCCAUCGCGCCUGCUCCUGUCUGCACCGUCUCCCGGGGCCCUCCUGGCCCUGUGUGUGCGGAUGAAGUGACUCAGGUCACACGGGAGGGGGGCAAACCCGGCUCACACUAGUCCUUCCAUCUCCUGGGCAUCCUGCUCCUGGGCAUCGCAGAUGAUGGCUUGGAAGGAGGGUCCUGCGCUGUGGAUUUCAGGACUCCAAGAGUGGGAGUGGAGUCGGACGUGUGGUGGCAGCCUGCGCUCGAUAACAGCUUUGAAGAAGAGGCAGGGAAACGCCAAACUCCCAGGUCUGCAGGGUUCCUUUCUGGGUUUUCCUUCUCACCGGUCCACCUCUAGCUUUCACCAGCUCUUCAGGGGAUGAAGAAAAAGGGGGAAAGUGUGUGGCAGGCAGGCUAGGGCAAGGAGAGGCAGAAAGACGUGAGACUGGAGACACUAGGAGAGACAGCCCUGGCCGGGGCAGCCCGUGCCCACGGAGCUGCUGGAAGAGGCACAGACCCAGACGCUGCCCGCAGUCUGAGGCCCGCACCCCAAGCCCACAGAGUCGGGGAGCAGCAAGCCAUCCCUUUAACAUAACUUAUUUUAGCUCCUGGCCGGGCUCCCACCUCUGAACUCACGUGUGUGCUCGCACCUGGGGAAACGGCUCUGCUUCCGGGGCAACCCAGCAACUGUUACUGGGAGGAGUGAGGAGCCUCGGGGGUAACUUAUGCCUCUUGUUACGGUUCCAGUUGAAGUUACCAAAGACAACACAGGUGAUCCUGAUCCCACACUGGGAAGCCCUGGAAACCAGCAAUAGCAUCACUUCCCAGCCUGGGAGCCGAGAAAGGAGCAGGCAAAGCCCAAGCCGGGAGUUGGCAGUCAUGGGGGUGGCACAAAGUGAGGGAGACCUGAAAAUCCAUGGCCUCUUACUGACAAGAAUAUGUUGUCAAAACUCUGGAGGAAGGGAGGAUGACAGCCUUCAGGGAAUGAUUUUACUGUUUUUGAGACUGGGUCUUACUAUGUAGCCUGGGCUGGCUGUAAAUUUGCGGCUCUCUGGCCUCAGCUUCCUGAGACCUGAGAUUACUGGUGUGUACCACCAUGCCUGGCACACCUAACUUUACUGGCUAAAUUUUACAGCACACCUACCUCCCUGCAGGCGCUUCAGGCUCUGGCUGGCUGGGACAGUGGCUGUCAAGCUAACUGGCCACAAGGUCACCUUGCUGAUUCUGGUCCAGCUGGGACUGGCACACUGCCCUGGAUCUGCUUUUCUCUUUUGGGUGGGUGGAGGAAGCAAGAGAUAUAAUUUACAUACCACAAGGAGGUCCAAUUUGGUGGCUUUUGGUAUAUUUAUGAGGGUGUGCAACUAUCUACAUGAACCAUUUGUCACAGUUCAUGUCUAGAUGUCUCCAAAGCCUCAGAUACUCAGAGGCAGGGCUUCCUAAGGCCAUUGGAUCAGGAGGGGGUGAUAGCUGACUUCCUGUUAGGUGAUUGGAUCAUGAAAGCAGACAGCUGACUUCCUGUCAGGUGAUUGGACCAUGAGGGCUGACAGCUGACUUCCUGUCAGGAGGCGGGCCUUGUCUGAAGAGCUAGUCAUGGAGGCAUGGCCUAGAAGGGUUGGCCUCCCUCCUUCGCUCCUCCCUUCUCUCUCUGCUUCCUGUGUGCCAUGACCUGAGCAGCUCUCUUCGAUCAAGUCCUUCCAACGCAUCCUCCUGCCUUGGACUGAACUCUCUAAUAACUCCCCGUUUACAUUUUGAGGGUCAAGUAUUGUGUCCCAGUGGCAAAGAAAAUGACAGAGACGCCAUCAUUACCUCAUUCUUUGAAAUGCUCAUCACCCACACAGUGGAAUUGCCUAUUGUAGACAUUUCAUCUAAGUGGAAUCAUAUACCAUGUGGCCUCUUGUGUCUGGCUUCUUUCAUUUAUUUAGUAUAAUGUUGCUGAUUCACAGUGUAACAGGCAUCAGUUCUUUCUACUACUGACGAAUGUUCCACUGUAUGAAGGUUUCCUUUCAUGUGGGAAUGCUCUUGGGCUGUUAGGAAUACUGCUUCUAUCAGUAUUCAUGUACAAGUAUGUGUGUGAACGUGCACCUUGGAUUCUCUUGGGUAUUUACCUAGGAGUGGUAUUUCUGGGCCAUAUGGUUAACUCUGUGUUAUCUCUAUUAACCAUUAAACUGUUUUGUACACGAUGUCUCAUUGUGGUUUUCAUUUCAAUUUCCCUAAUAACUAAUGAUGUUGAGAACUUUUAUGCACUCAUUGGCCAUUUGCCUAUCUUAUUAGAACA
rnacentral:lncRNA from 1 species